AACGAACGCUGGCGGCAUGCCUAACACAUGCAAGUCGAACGAGAUCUUCGGGUCUAGUGGCGCACGGGUGCGUAACGCGUGGGAAUCUGCCCUUUGGUUCGGAAUAACAGUUGGAAACGACUGCUAAUACCGGAUGAUGACGAAAGUCCAAAGAUUUAUCGCCAGAGGAUGAGCCCGCGUUGGAUUAGCUAGUUGGUGUGGUAAAGGCGCACCAAGGCGACGAUCCUUAGCUGGUCGGAGAGGAUGAUCAGCCACACUGGGACUGAGACACGGCCAAGAAUGCUAGGGGAGGCAGCAGUGGGGAAUCUUGGACAAUGGGCGAAAGCCUGAUCCAGCAAUGCCGCGUGAGUGAUGAAGACCUGAGGGUUGUAAAGCGCUUUUACCCGGGAUGAUAAUGACAGUACCGGGAGAAUAAGCUCCGGCUAACUCCGUGCCAGCCGCCGCCGUAA
rnacentral:rRNA from 1 species